AGAGUUUGAUCCUGGCUCAGAUUGAACGCUGGCGGUAUGCUUUACACAUGCAAGUCGAACGGCAGCACGGGGCAACCUGGUGGCGAGUGGCGAACGGGUGAGUAACAUAUCGGAACAUGUCCGGAAGUGGGGGAUAACGUAGCGAAAGUUACGCUAAUACCGCAUAUGCCCCGAGGGGGAAAGGGGGGGAUCGCAAGACCUCUCGCUUCCGGAGUGGCCGAUAUCGGAUUAGCUAGUAGGCGAGGUAAAGGCUCACCUAGGCGACGAUCCGUAGCUGGUCUGAGAGGACGACCAGCCACACUGGAACUGAGACACGGUCCAGACUCCUACGGGAGGCAGCAGUGGGGAAUUUUGGACAAUGGGGGCAACCCUGAUCCAGCCAUACCGCGUGAGUGAAGAAGGCCUUCGGGUUGUAAAGCUCUUUCGGCAGGAAAGAAAUCGUGCAGGCUAAUAUCCUGUAUGGAUGACGGUACCUGAAGAAGAAGCACCGGCUAACUACGUGCCAGCAGCCGCGGUAAUACGUAGGGUGCGAGCGUUAAUCGGAAUUACUGGGCGUAAAGCGUGCGCAGGCGGUUCCGUAAGACAGAUGUGAAAUCCCCGGGCUUAACCUGGGAACUGCAUUUGUGACUGCGAGACUAGAGUGUAGCAGAGUGGGGUAGAAUUCCACGUGUAGCAGUGAAAUGCGUAGAUAUGUGGAGGAAUACCGAUGGCGAAGGCAGCCCCCUGGGCUAACACUGACGCUCAUGCACGAAAGCGUGGGGAGCAAACAGGAUUAGAUACCCUGGUAGUCCACGCCCUAA
rnacentral:rRNA from 1 species